UCCAGGAUGAAGACGUCCUCGGCUCCAGACCACAUUCACGACGCCCCAGUAGUUUACGGCCGUUGUGUUGGGCCCUGCCAUAUGUGGAUAAUGGCCUGGGUUUGAAAACACAACAGAAGCAAACACGCAGCACGGUGUUCACCAAACACACAAACCAGAGUUUGCCUUUGGAGGUGGGCUGCGUUUCACACAUUCCACUUGGCUCUCGCUGCUCUGGAAGUGGCUCAGACAAAUUUCUGGAAUCACUGAGGUUGCGAUAGCUGAGGUGUAAUUAUGUAUGUGGUUCUUUGUCAAAUCACCAAACUGAGCAUUCCUGCACAGUAUUUCUUUAUGGGUAAACCACGUACACAUUUAUGUUCCUUGAAAUACUUUGUUACUUUUGGUGGACACAUCAAAGCUUCAGAUGUCGGAGCGGGAGAUGAAUCCCUUCGACAACGCGUCCCCGUCACAGCAGCCUCUGAUGGGUCAAUGCAAACGCACACGUUCCCUGUGCAGAUCAAAGCGCAUAGCGCCCGCUGCGUGUGUGGAGACAGACAGUAAUUAACUGGGAACAUCCCAGUGGGACCAGUAGGGACUGACUCUGUCAGUCAAAGCCAGUCUGCUGCAACCGCUGGAAUGUCUGCAGGAGUGUGUGGGCGCACGAGCGAAAGCGAGGGUGUGUUUGUUUUUGACUUGUGACUAAAUAUUUGUUUUCAAUUAAAGGUUCAUAAUCGUGUAUGAGCAGACUGAUUGUCUGUUCAACACCUCCGUUAGCGCUCAAUUCAGGGCCGCCAGCUAAUGGGAGCUGCAGGGGUUAACAGAUCAGAAAGCGCUGUGUUCAUGAAAGCAUGGAGCGUCCAGCAGAUGAGACGCUGAUGAGAUUAAAAUGACAGGGGACGGCCCACGGGUCGGGGCUCGAGGAGCUUCUCCUGUUUCCAGCUGCCUCUCUUCAUGUGGCUCCUCCUCUGCAGACGCCAUAAAUAACCGCAGUCCACAGAGACGACGCAGGAGAGAAACAAAGUGUGAAGGCAGAUGGAGGAAGGAGCGCUGAUAAGACCAGCGCUGAUGUCACCCCAAAUAAAACAAGUCAGAGAGAUGUGGAAAGUGUCUGAGCUCAUUUUGCCAUAACUCACUGGACGCAGCGUGGGUUCUGCUUCACAGCAUCUCACUGGUGUUGGUUGUGUGACUGAUGCUUUUCAGCUUCGCUGGUGUCCGUCCUCAGAGGAAGUAUGUGAUGAACACCUUCUAAAUGUGGACUCUGGCCUGUGAAGCUGGACUCCGGCUUCAAAGCCAAGUUUCACGUUGUCUCAAUGACUUCUCUAAGGUAAUACUGAAAAGCCUGUGAUUGUGAUUUCAUCAAAUGGAUCCUCAACCAUUGGCCCAACUCGCUUCAUCACAAACGCGUCACACGUUUAGUGCUUUAAAGCUGAGAAGAGCUGUGACGGCAGGGUUUGUGUCUGGAGGCCUUCACCUCCCGCUGCAGGCUGCACAGGCCAGCGCCAGCCCUUAUCUGGGCGACAGCAGGCUUUCAUGCUUCACGGAGCAGAAAACAGCACCUCUGCGGACGGAAUGGCGGAUGGGCGGAAGCUGAGCCCGGCUGGUACCGUACAGCCCAGGCCCCACAGCUGAACGUAAUGCUAGAGUUAGCUCUGCAGGUAGGACCCGGACGGAAAUGGACCAUGUCUCCAUCUCCUCAGCUCAACAUUUGACCUGCUGCCGCUUAGAAAACAAACACCAACAGCAUAAAUAAUGAAAACGCUUGUAAAUGAGCUGUGUGACGUGGAGGAGCUAAGAACGUGUUCACACGCGGAUUUGGGGCUGGAAGUAACAGAAUUCUUGAGAUGACACGUGGAGGAGAAGGGGACAGAGGUGACACCGACCUUUGACCUCUAAGGUCUGAGGGUUUUCAGGUGUUACAGGAGUGUGUGUGAGGGCGGACCCGUCACAGUGAUCUCAGGCGGAGGAAUAAGCAGCCGUGCGGUGUGUGAUCCAUCCGUCUCCCUGGUCUCCUCACACACUAGCACACUGCUGCCUUUGUUCCCUUUGUGCCUGAGCAAAUACACACACACACACACACACACACACACACACA